rnacentral:tRNA from 1 species
GUCCGGGUGGCGGAAUGGUAGACGCGCUAGCUUGAGGUGCUAGUGCCCGAUUAUAGGGCGUGGAGGUUCAACUCCUCUUCCGGACA